rnacentral:rRNA from 1 species
UACAGAGGGUGCGAGCGUUAAUCGGAAUUACUGGGCGUAAAGCGCACGUAGGUGGCGACGUAAGUCGGGUGUGAAAGCCCCGGGCUCAACCUGGGAAUUGCAUUCGAGACUGCAUUGCUGGAGUACGGAAGAGGAAGGCGGAAUUCCCGGUGUAGCGGUGAAAUGCGUAGAUAUCGAGAGGAACACCUGCGGCGAAGGCGGGUAGCUGGCCGACACUGACGCUGAUGCGCGAAAGCUAGGGGAGCAAACGGG